rnacentral:lncRNA from 1 species
UGGCCCCUUUGCCCUCCACCUCCCCUGCCGCAUGCACCUCGGGGCUCAUUUGAAGGACUCGCCCUCUCCAGGGGGUUCUCACCCUCUGUGAGCCUUUAGACCUUAAUCCUGAGUUCAGAUCUGGCCUCAGAUACUUCCUGGUGGUGUGGCCCUGGGCAAGUCACCUAACCCCGACUGCCUAGCUCCUGCUGCUCUUCUACCUUGGGGUUGACACUAAGGCAGAAGGUAAGGGUUAUUUUUAAAAAGCUGGUAACCACCACAUUGCCUCUUGUCUGACAGGGUAGGCAAUAUCUCACCCUUGCAGUGAAGUGACGGAGAUGUAUUCUCUCCACUCUCCUUCCUAGCCACACACGCUCAUUAUUCUUAACCGAGACGUGCCAACCUAGCACUUUUCAAAAUGCUUCCAUAUAUGUUAUCUUGUUCUCUUCCUCUCGCAGGAGGCGAGGAAAGUAGUACUUCAUCUCACAGAUGAAGAAACAGACCCUGGGGUCAGGAAGACUUGAGUUCAAAUCCUGCCACUCCAAGUGACUCUGGGAGAUCCCAGAUGUCCAGCAAUAUUCAGACAUCCAAGGAAAACGCCCUUCUGCCUGGUGACUGGCAGCCUGGCCGGCCGGACCUCAAUAAUCUCCCAAGUGAAACCCUGGAAACCUGGCUUUGCUCACGGCAGGACACCUCCAGCCUGCCCAGAUCUCUUUGUCCCCCUCGUCAGAGCUGAACACGUGGGCCCCCACCCGGUGCACCUCCUUUCCCAGACACCCCCAGGGAGCCACAGACUCCUCACUCCACAUGGGCCAGGGGCCCUGAGGACCCCAUUCUCUCCCCUUCCCCCCAUCUGGAGCCCUGGAUCUUAAAGCUACAAAUAGCCCAUCCUUCUCCCACAUCUGCCCCCUUUACCACACAGCUGGAGCUGCUCCAGGGCAGAGAAGGGAUAAGUUAGAAAGUACAAAUCUCAAGAGUUUGAAUGCACAUUGUCAUCGGCCUUUAUGCUGAAGCUUAGGAUUAUCCCUGUGGCUUCCCUUUGAGCCAGCGCUGUGUGACUUCCAUUCCCUCUUCCCCGCUGUCCCUGCCCCUUUCUCCCAUG